AACGCACAUUGCGCCCUAUGGUAUUCCGUAGGGCAUGCCUGUCUGAGCGUCAGCUCCCACCCACUCAAGUCUUUUUAGAUUUGGAUUACCUUGAGGAAGUGUCAUUUUUUAUAGUGCUGCUCCUCAGAAAUUCAUAGGCAAUACGGCAAAUCCUGAACCGGGCGUAAUAAGGAUAUAAAAUCGUCAAGGCAGGCAAUCUGUAUUAGUCUUUAACCCCCCCCAUUUACUUAUAUUUGGGUGACCUCAGAUCAGGUAGGGAUACCCGCUGAACUUAA
rnacentral:misc_RNA from 1 species